UACGGGGGGUGCGAGCGUUGUCCGGAAUCACUGGGCGUAAAGGGCGCGUAGGUGGCUCUGUAAGUUUGCGGUGAAAGCCCGGGGCUCAACCCCGGGUCUGCCGUGAAUACUGCAAGGCUUGAGUAGUGUAGAGGCAGGUAGAAUAUCGGGUGUAGCGGUGGAAUGCGUAGAGAUCCGAUAGAAGACCGGUGGCGAAGGCGGCCUGCUGGGCACUAACUGACACUGGGGCGCGACAGCGUGGGGAGCAAACAGG
rnacentral:rRNA from 1 species